rnacentral:misc_RNA from 1 species
AAAAACGAUUGCGUCUCGGCUUGGCUCUGCUCUUCUCCUGUCGAGCACGGGCCUGUGCGCGCGUGUGAUUUCUGGGGUGUUGCCGUGCCGUCUACCAAGGACGUUGGCGAAGCACUCCCUUGAUGUACUGGACCUCGCCUGCUUCUCGGCUGACGUUUUUUUGUGUUGUUGCUAUCCCUCCGCGUCUCGUGUCGCUCAUUGAGCCAGCGCGGGUAAGGAGGUGUGAGUCUCUCUCUUCCCUUCGCCACACACGCCGACCACAUCGCCGACUGCCUCUCGUUGCCCGUAUCGCCGCUCUGUCUGUCUCUGUGUUUCCCGCCACUCUGUUGUCAUCCACCCUUCCCCCACCGAGCUCGCUGUGCGCGUGCGUGUGUGUGUCCCUUCUUCUUUCUGUUCCGUUGACGUUAGGCCUGAUGGGCUUUCAUGAAAGCGCGGGCGCGCCGUCGCAAAACGGAGAGAGCUCGUUGUUUCCCUGCCCGCAAGGCGAGCUGCCGUCGCCGUUUGGCUGCAUACCGCCUUCGGCGGAGGACACCGUCUUCAUAAACACGAACAAGUUGGUCUGGGUGAACUCCGGUGCGCAGCUCAUCAUCAUCCUCGUUGGCGUGAUCGAAUUCCUCUUAGGUACCUUGUACUUCUUCAUUAGACGGCGGCGCACCGAGGAAAGGCUGGAACGCUCUCGUGCCGCUCGGCAGUCUUUGCGCGUGAACGAGGACGGGAACGUGGCUGACCCCCCCAAGAAGCACCUCUUCUCCCGCAGCCCAACGCUGCAUCGUCCACUAAAACCCGUGUCGGAGCUGAACGGGAGGUGCUGUGGCUGCGCGAGAAUCGCUGACACGGUGCUGCUGCCUUGCAAGCACGCCGUGUGCUGCUACUCGUGCUCCGACCACGCCACCUACUGCCCUUUCUGCAAAGAGGCCUGCACAGACCGCCAGCGACUCUUUGCGGUGUAGGCAACACGUGAGAUAAUGCGAAGGGGAGACAGAGGCAGAGAACAUUCGCAGGGACUCCACUAGCAUAACAGCGACAGAGCGAAGUCGUGAAAAACAAGCGCGCACAUCAUACACACCAGCUGGCCAGCACGGCCGUGUAUCUUGCGCUUAUCCACGGGAGAGACUGAGCUCACUUCAAGCGACUAAAGGAUCGAUUCGCUGCGGCAUUCGGUGCUGUUCUCUGACCUUUUCUUUCAGCUUGCGAAGGUAGGGCCAUACAGAGGCUGAUUGUCAUGCGUACGGCUGGAAGUUCGGUGAUGGGACCUGACAACAGAUGGUCCCACGUUUUGUCGCGCGUAAAACACGGCGACAUGUAAGCUCGUGUGAAAGGGAUGCCCACAAACUCACGAAGAGAAGUAGCCAGCACAAGAAGGGCGAGGGCGCUGGAACUGGGCGUGACUCCCCUUUCUCUCAUUAGUGAUCCUGCACGGUGACGAAGACACCGUGUCGCUGCUCAUCUGAAUUCCUCCUUGCUUUGUCUUCUUUACGUUCACGCUCUGUGGGCUGCUGCCGUGUUGCGGCGGCGGCUGCGCACCGACGGCGGCUGAUCCAGCGGGCAACAAAGCGAAGCGCGAAGGGGGGGAUAGGGUUGCGUGUGCCCAAGUUUGACGCUUCUUGAAAUUUACUGUUUCCAGAUGGGCAUGUGGUGCGCGUGGCAGAUACGGAGUAGGGGACAAGGCAGGCGCCAUCGUAUGCUAAUUCGUUUCGUUUGUCUGUCUCUCUCUCUAUCCCGUGUGUUGUUGUCUUCUUCGAUUGCGUUUUUCAGCUCAGGCUCGCUAACGGUAGCCUGGCCCUCGUUCGUACUUCAUCCUCUGUUUUGUGCUUUCGUACAUGUAGGUGCUUGUUUUUGUGUUGACAUGUGUGACGGUGUCCCCCUCCCUCCCUCUCUCUUUUGGCGUAUGUCUCCCUUUCCUUCGAUCGGCUCAUGCUGCUUCUGUCGCCUGUUUUCUUUCUGUGCCCGACGUAUACGCAUGCUUUACUCGUAUAUGUGUGAGUGUGUGCUGUACGCUCUUCCUUUUUUAUUCCCCUUUUGCCCCCUAAAAGGUGAUAGAAGCGCACUCGGCCAACGUGAGGAUCGAAGGCUACAGCGUCUCGCCAUCAGCGCUCUCUUGUGCAGCCGUGUGGGGGUAGACUGCUACGGCGCAGCGGUAUCGACUUCAUCGCCUCUC